UUAAGCGACUAAGCGUACACGGUGGAUGCCCUGGCAGUCAGAGGCGAUGAAGGACGUGCUAAUCUGCGAAAAGCGUCGGUAAGGUGAUAUGAACCGUUAUAGCCGGCGAUGUCCGAAUGGGGAAACCCAGUGCAAUUCGUUGCACUAUCGUUUGAUGAAUACAUAGUCAAACGAGGCGAACCGGGGGAACUGAAACAUCUAAGUACCCCGAGGAAAAGAAAUCAACCGAGAUUCCCCCAGUAGCGGCGAGCGAACGGGGAGCAGCCCGGAGUCUGAAUCAGCUUGUGUGUUAGUGGAAGCGUCUGGAAAGUCGCAGGGUACAGGGUGAUACUCCCGUACACUAAAAUGCACAGGUUGUGAACUCGAAGAGUAGGGCGGGACACGUGGUAUCCUGUCUGAAUAUGGGGGGACCAUCCUCCAAGGCUAAAUACUCCUGACUGACCGAUAGUGAACCAGUACCGUGAGGGAAAGGCGAAAAGAACCCCGGCGAGGGGAGUGAAAAAGAACCUGAAACCGUGUACGUACAAGCAGUAGGAGCCCACUUGUUGGGUGACUGCGUACCUUUUGUAUAAUGGGUCAGCGACUUAUAUUCUGUAGCAAGGUUAACCGUAUAGGGGAGCCGCAGGGAAACCGAGUCUUAACUGGGCGUUAAGUUGCAGGGUAUAGACCCGAAACCCGGUGAUCUAGCCAUGGGCAGGUUGAAGGUUGGGUAACACUAACUGGAGGACCGAACCGACUAAUGUUGAAAAAUUAGCGGAUGACUUGUGGCUGGGGGUGAAAGGCCAAUCAAACCGGGAGAUAGCUGGUUCUCCCCGAAAGCUAUUUAGGUAGCGCCUCGUGAAUUCAUCUUCGGGGGUAGAGCACUGUUUCGGCUAGGGGGUCAUCCCGACUUACCAACCCGAUGCAAACUACGAAUACCGAAGAAUGUUAUCACGGGAGACACACGGCGGGUGCUAACGUCCGUCGUGAAGAGGGAAACAACCCAGACCGCCAGCUAAGGUCCCAAAGUCAUGGUUAAGUGGGAAACGAUGUGGGAAGGCCCAGACAGCCAGGAUGUUGGCUUAGAAGCAGCCAUCAUUUAAAGAAAGCGUAAUAGCUCACUGGUCGAGUCGGCCUGCGCGGAAGAUGUAACGGGGCUAAACCAUGCACCGAAGCUGCGGCAGCGACGCUUAUGCGUUGUUGGGUAGGGGAGCGUUCUGUAAGCCGUUGAAGGUGGCCUGUGAGGGUUGCUGGAGGUAUCAGAAGUGCGAAUGCUGACAUAAGUAACGAUAAUGCGGGUGAAAAACCCGCACGCCGGAAGACCAAGGGUUCCUGUCCAACGUUAAUCGGGGCAGGGUGAGUCGACCCCUAAGGCGAGGCCGAAAGGCGUAGUCGAUGGGAAACAGGUUAAUAUUCCUGUACUCGGUGUUACUGCGAAGGGGGGACGGAGAAGGCUAUGUUGGCCGGGCGACGGUUGUCCCGGUUUAAGCAUGUAGGCGGAUGUUCCAGGUAAAUCCGGAACGUUAUUAACGCUGAGGUGUGAUGACGAGGCACUACGGUGCUGAAGUGACAAAUGCCCUGCUUCCAGGAAAAGCCUCUAAGCAUCAGGUAACAUCAAAUCGUACCCCAAACCGACACAGGUGGUCAGGUAGAGAAUACCAAGGCGCUUGAGAGAACUCGGGUGAAGGAACUAGGCAAAAUGGUGCCGUAACUUCGGGAGAAGGCACGCUGAUGGUAAGUGAAGUGACUUGCUCAUGGAGCUGAAAUCAGUCGAAGAUACCAGCUGGCUGCAACUGUUUAUUAAAAACACAGCACUGUGCAAACACGAAAGUGGACGUAUACGGUGUGACGCCUGCCCGGUGCCGGAAGGUUAAUUGAUGGGGUUAUCCGUAAGGAGAAGCUCUUGAUCGAAGCCCCGGUAAACGGCGGCCGUAACUAUAACGGUCCUAAGGUAGCGAAAUUCCUUGUCGGGUAAGUUCCGACCUGCACGAAUGGCGUAAUGAUGGCCAGGCUGUCUCCACCCGAGACUCAGUGAAAUUGAACUCGCUGUGAAGAUGCAGUGUACCCGCGGCAAGACGGAAAGACCCCGUGAACCUUUACUAUAGCUUGACACUGAACACUGGUCCUUGAUGUGUAGGAUAGGUGGGAGGCUUUGAAGUGUGGACGCCAGUCUGCAUGGAGCCAUCCUUGAAAUACCACCCUUUAAUGGCUGGUGUUCUAACGUGGGCCCCUAAUCGGGGUUGCGGACAGUGUCUGGUGGGUAGUUUGACUGGGGCGGUCUCCUCCUAAAGAGUAACGGAGGAGCACGAAGGUCAGCUAAUCCUGGUCGGACAUCAGGAGGUUAGUGCAAUGGCAUAAGCUGGCUUGACUGCGAGCGUGACGGCGCGAGCAGGUGCGAAAGCAGGUCAUAGUGAUCCGGUGGUUCUGAAUGGAAGGGCCAUCGCUCAACGGAUAAAAGGUACUCCGGGGAUAACAGGCUGAUACCGCCCAAGAGUUCAUAUCGACGGCGGUGUUUGGCACCUCGAUGUCGGCUCAUCACAUCCUGGGGCUGAAGUAGGUCCAAGGGUAUGGCUGUUCGCCAUUUAAAGUGGUACGCGAGCUGGGUUUAGAACGUCGUGAGACAGUUCGGUCCCUAUCUGCCGUGGGCGCUGGAGAAUUGAGGGGGCUGCUCCUAGUACGAGAGGACCGGAGUGGACGCAUCACUGGUGUUCGGGUUGUCAUGCCAAUGGCAUUGCCCGGUAGCUAAAUGCGGAAGAGAUAAGUGCUGAAAGCAUCUAAGCACGAAACUUGCCCCGAGAUGAGUUCUCCCUGACUCCUUGAGAGUCCUGAAGGAACGUUGAAGACGACGACGUUGAUAGGCCGGGUGUGUAAGCGCAGCGAUGCGUUGAGCUAACCGGUACUAAUGAACCGUGAGGCUUAACCUU
rnacentral:rRNA from 2 species